GAUGAACGCUGGCGGCGUGCCUAAUACAUGCAAGUCGAGCGAACAGAUAAGGAGCUUGCUCCUUUGACGUUAGCGGCGGACGGGUGAGUAACACGUGGAUAACCUACCUAUAAGACUGGGAUAACUUCGGGAAACCGGAGCUAAUACCGGAUAACAUAUUAAACCGCAUGGUUCAAUAGUGAAAGGCGGCUUUGCUGUCACUUAUAGAUGGAUCCGCGCCGUAUUAGCUAGUUGGUAAGGUAACGGCUUACCAAGGCAACGAUACGUAGCCGACCUGAGAGGGUGAUCGGCCACACUGGAACUGAGACACGGUCCAGACUCCUACGGGAGGCAGCAGUAGGGAAUCUUCCGCAAUGGGCGAAAGCCUGACGGAGCAACGCCGCGUGAGUGAUGAAGGUCUUCGGAUCGUAAAACUCUGUUAUCAGGGAAGAACAAAUGUGUAAGUAACUGUGCACAUCUUGACGGUACCUGAUCAGAAAGCCACGGCUAACUACGUG
rnacentral:rRNA from 1 species